AGGGGUAUAGCUCAGUGGCAGAGCAUAUGCCUAGCAUGCAUGAGGUCCUGGGUUUGAUCCCCAGCCCUG
rnacentral:tRNA from 1 species